rnacentral:rRNA from 10 species
UUUUAUGGCCAUACCACCCUGAAUGUGCCCAAUCUCCUCUCAUCUUGGAAGCUAAGCAAGGUCGAGCCUGGCUAGUACUUGGAUGGGAGUCCUCUGGCAUAUUUUCUAAAAGCCCCCUAUAUU